UCUGAGUGAAAUAGAAGGAAUCCCCCCGAAAAUAAGGCCCCCCUAGGCUCUGUCUCAGAAUGAAAAUUAAUUUACCAUAAACUGGUCGCUAGGGCCGCCCCGGCUGGCCUCUAGCAACCAGUGACGUUACACUGAGUCCUGACGUCACUUCUGUAUGAAUGGAGAGAAACAUCAGUGAUGAGAAUCAUUGA